AGUGGGAUAGCUGGGUCAAAUGGUGGCUCCAUUCCAAUUUUCCAAGAAAUCUUCAUAGUGCUUUCCAGAUUGGCUGCAACAGUUUGCAGUCCCACCAGCAAU
rnacentral:pre_miRNA from 1 species